rnacentral:rRNA from 1 species
GACGAACGCUGGCGGCGUGCUUAACACAUGCAAGUCGAACGAUGAAGUUCCUUCGGGAAUGGAUUAGUGGCGAACGGGUGAGGAACACGGGAGAAACCUGCCUUUCAUUUUGGGAUAACUCCGGGAAACCGGGGCUAAAACCGAAUACUCCGUCUCGGCGGCAUCGCUGAGCCGGGAAAAAAUUUUGAUGAAAGAUGGUCUCGCGGCCUAUCAGCUAGUUGGUGAGGUAAUGGCUCACCAAGGCAACGACGGGUAGCCGGCCUGAGAGGGCGACCGGCCACACUGGGACUGAGACACGGCCCAGACUCCUACGGGAGGCAGCAGUGGGGAAUAUUGGGCAAUGGGCGCAAGCCUGACCCAGCGACGCCGCGUGAGGGAUGAAGGCCUUCGGGUUGUAAACCUCCUUCAGUAGGGAAGAAGCGAAAGUAACGGUACCUAAAGAAGAAGCACCGGCUAACUAUGUGCCAGCCGCCGCGGUAA